GGGGGUUUUUGCGUCUGAUUAGCUGGUUGGAGGGGUAACGGCCCAACAAGGCGAUGAUCAGUAGCCGGUCUGAGAGGAUGAACGGCCACAUUGGGACUGAGACACGGCCCAGACUCCUACGGGAGGCAGCAGUGGGGAAUCUUCCGCAAUGGACGAAAGUCUGACGGAGCAACGCCGCGUGAGUGAAGAAGGUCUUCGGAUUGUAAAGCUCUGUUAUACGGGACGAAAAAGACGGAUGCCAACAGUAUCCGUCCGUGACGGUACCGUAAGAGAAAGCCACGGGCUAACUACGUGCCAGCAGCCGCGGUAAAU
rnacentral:rRNA from 1 species